CAGUGACUGCUGCUGGAAACCGUCGUGGCACUGGGGUCACCUCCCCAAGGCCCUCAGUUUCCAUGAUGGCUCAGCACAGAUGACUAUCCUGACCACCUCACACCCCUCCUUCCUCAAGAGGGUUCUGGCGUUUCUCUUUGCUCCCUGGAGGAAGUGGGCUUCCUGCAAGCAGAGCUGUGCCCAGGACCAUGCCAGCCCAUGACAGGCAUUCACCCUGUUCUAACAAGUGAACAAAGGGGAGGAGUAAUUUUUUCAACAAAUGGUGCUGGGAUCUUGCAGGUACCUGAACAUAUGCAAGCUCCUGGAGGGCAGCAUGACCAGGGAGGGCAGGUAAGCUCUGUGCCCACACCCCCACAACAAACACACACACACAUAUACAUACCCCACACACACAUACCCAACACACGCACACACCCAACACACGCACACAUACCCAACGCACACACUGAACACACACAUACACACACCCAACAUCAUAACACACACACACACCCAACACACCUACACAACCCCCAGACACACACACUCAACACACACAACACACACACAUACCCAACACACACACAUACCCAACACACAUCCCAGCAUACACAGCAUACACACAUACCCAACACACAUCCCAGCAUACACAGCAUACACACAUACCCAACACAACACACACCAACACACACACACCCAACACAUAACACACUUCCAACACACACAUACACAUACCCAACACACAACAUACACAUAUACACCCCCAAUACACACAACACAUGCCCAACGCACACAACACACACAUAUACACACCAAACACACACACACGCCUAA
ensembl:lncRNA